rnacentral:rRNA from 1 species
GUGAAAAGAACCCCGGGAGGGGAGUGAAAGAGAACCUGAAACCAUAUGCCUACAAGAAGUCAGAGCCCGUUAAAGGGUGAUGGCGUGCCUUUUGUAGAAUGAACCGGCGAGUUACUGUAUGGAGCGAGGUUAAGCAGGAUAUGCGGAGCCGAAGCGAAAGCGAGUCUUAAGAGGGCGAGAGUUGCAUGCAGUAGACCCGAAACCGGGUGAUCUAGCCAUGACCAGGUUGAAGUUGGGGUAAAACCCGAUGGAGGACCGAACCGACCCCCGUUGAAACGUUGGCGGAUGAGUUGUGGCUAGGGGUGAAAUUCCAAUCGAACCCGGAGAUAGCUGGUUCUCCCCGAAAUAGCUUUAGGGCUAGCGUCGAGGUAAGAGUUGCGUGAAGGUAGAGCACUGAAUAUGUGAUGGCCCCAUCUCGGGGUACUGAGCAUAAUCAAACUGCGAAUGUCACGGAAACAUACUCGGCAGUCAGACAGCGGGUGAUAAGGUCCGUUGUCAAGAGGGAAACAGCCCAGACCAUCAGCUAAGGUCCCAAAAUGUAUGCUAAGUGGAAAAGGAUGUGGAGAUGUACAGACAACUAGGAGGUUGGCUCAGAAGCAGCCAUCCUUUAAAGAGUGCGUAACAGCUCACUAGUCGAAUGACUCUGCGCCGAUAAUUUACCGGGGCUAAGCAUACUACCGAAGCUAUGGAUCCUACGGGAUGGUAGGGGAGCGUUCCAUGAACGGAGAAGUACGACCGGAAGGACGUGUGGAGAUCAUGGAAGAGAGAAUGCCGGUGUGAGUAGCGGAACGUGGGUGAGAAUCCCACGCACCGAAAACCCAAGGAUUCCAGAGGAAGGUUCGUCCGCUCUGGGUAAGUCGGGACCUAAGGCGAGGCCGAAAGGCGUAGUCGAUGGACAACAGGUAGAGAUUCCUGUACUUGUAUAUAUGUGAAGGAAUGACGGAGAGAGAAAGCUGAAGCCAGCGGCUGGAAGAGCUGGUGCAAGCGAGAUAGCGGGAUGGCAGGCAAAUCCGCCAUCCACAACGCGAAGACGUGAUGCGAACGGAAAGCUACGGCGAGUACGGAAGUCAGUGGACGAGCUUCCAAGAAAAGUUUCUAACAUAAGUAUAUGCAACCCGUACCGAAAAUGGACACACAUGGGUGAGGAGAGAAUCCUAAGGUGAGCGAGAGAACUAUAGCUAAGGAACUCUGCAAAAUGACUCCGUAACUUAGGGAGAAGGAGUGCUCAUAGAGAUAUGAGCCGCAGUGAAACGGCCCAAGCGACUGUUUACCAAAAACACAGCUCUCUGCUAAGCCGCAAGGCGAAGUAUAGGGGGUGACGCCUGCCCGGUGCUGGAAGGUUAAGAGGAGGUGUCAGCGCAAGCGAAGCACUGAAUUGAAGCCCCAGUAAACGGCGGCCGUAACUAUAACGGUCCUAAGGUAGCGAAAUUCCUUGUCAGGUAAGUUCUGACCCGCACGAAAGGCGUAACGAUUUGGGCGCUGUCUCAGCUGUAGACUCGGUGAAGUCUUAGUACCUGUGAAGAUGCAGGUUACCCGCGACUAGACGGAAAGACCCCAUGGAGCUUCACUGCAGGUUGAUAUUGGGAUUUGAUGCAGCAUGUACAGGAUAGGUAGGAGGCUAGGAGAUGGAUACGCCAGUAUUCAAGGAGCCGCUGUUGGGAUACUACCCCUGUUGAUUAUUGGAUUUCUAACCGGACGACGUAAGCCGUUGACGGGACAGUGUCAGUCGGGCAGUUUGACUGGGGCGGUCGCCUCCCAAAGAGUAACGGAGGCGCCCAAAGAUACCCUCAGCUUGGAUGGAAACCAAGCGCAGAGUGCAAAGGCAAAAGGGUGUUUGACUGCGAGACCCACAAGUCGAGCAGGGACGAAAGUCGGGCUUAGUGAUCCGGCGGUGCUGAAUGGAAAGGCCGUCGCUCAACGGAUAAAAGCUACCCUGGGGAUAACAGGCU